rnacentral:lncRNA from 13 species
AGCAGAAAAAGCGGGAAAAUCAUUCUUCAGGGAGCUUGUGUGCCUGCCUGAAAAUUCGGCUAGGCAUUCGUCGUUGACAGGGUAAUAACACUAAAAUCUCCAUCCAAUAUGGCCACUGGGUGGCUAAAAGCAAAGAGAGGAAACCUCUGAGCUCCAGGGCAUAUCUAGAUGCCCUGUUACUUCAGAGAAAAGAAGGGAUGAAGAGUCACUAUCCUAGGAGGUACCUGUAUGAACUGGAUGUUAUUACCUGGCUGCCUUUUCUGCAGGGUAAACAGCCUAACACACCAGUGAGUAAAACUACCUAAUCCUGAGGCUGCCCCAUAACUCCCACAAAAAUGUUCUCUCUUUAUGUUCACAUCACAGUAUGAUGUAAUUCCAGACACCCUUGGAAAGGCCGUAGUUUGCGAUUAACACACAAAAAAGGCAGCCUUACAGCUCCCAAAUAGGUGGGAUGAAAUACAAAGCAAAGAGAAAUAUUCAGAGAUUAAUGAUAAUAAUGAAAGAACACAGCCUUCAUUUUUAUAAAAAUAACCCUGGAGUAUAAUUAAAUAAUCUCCUGAAUCAUAAUUUAUUU